CCUACGGGAGGCAGCAGUAGGGAAUUUUCCACAAUGGGCGAAAGCCUGAUGGAGCAAUGCCGCGUGGGUGAAGAAGGUCUUCGGAUCGUAAAACCCUGUUAGUAGAGAAGAAAGUGCGUGAGAGUAACUCUUCACGUUUCGACGGUAGCUAACCAGAAAGCCACGGCUAACUACGUGCCAGCAGCCGCGGUAAUACGUAGGUGGCAAGCGUUAUCCGGAUUUAUUGGGCGUAAAGGGCACGCAGGCGGUCUUUUAAGUCUUAUGUGAAAGCCUUCGGCUUAACCGGGGUAGUGCAUUGGAAACUGGGAAACUUGAGUGUGGGAGAGGAGAGUGGAAUGCCAGGUGUAGCGGUGAAAUGCGUAGAUAUAUGGAAGAACACCAGUGGCGAAGGCGGCUCUCUGGUCUGUAACUGACGCUGAGGUUCGAAAGCGUGGGUAGCAAACAGGAUUAGAUACCCGGGUAGUC
rnacentral:rRNA from 1 species